UGGGGAAUAUUGCACAAUGGGCGAAAGCCUGAUGCAGCAACGCCGCGUGAGGGACGACGGCCUUCGGGUUGUAAACCUCUUUUAGCAAGGAAGAAGCGAAAGUGACGGUACUUGCAGAAAAACGCGCCGGCUAACUACGUGCCAGCAGCCGCGGUAAUACGUAGGGCGCAAGCGUUAUCCGGAAUUAUUGGGCGUAAAGAGCUCGUAGGCGGUUUGUCGCGUCUGCUGUGAAAACCCGAGGCUCAACCUCGGGCCUGCAGUGGGUACGGGCAGACUAGAGUGCGGUAGGGGAGAUUGGAACUCCUGGUGUAGCGGUGGAAUGCGCAGAUAUCAGGAAGAACACCGAUGGCGAAGGCAGAUCUCUGGGCCCGUAACUGACGCUGAGGAGCGAAACGGGU
rnacentral:rRNA from 1 species